ACUGCUCUGAGUCCCGAUUUGUAUUCGCACUGGAGGCAGCUCAGACUCACCCCAUCUCCAAAGGGAAAAACCAAGUCUGCAUGUGGAGGCUGGAACCCCUAACAGAUACAUGUACCUGGCUGUGUUUUCCAAAGAUGGCUGCAACAAUAUCUGCCAUCUCACAUGCUUAUCUCAUGAUGUGACUUUGACACUCCUCCCAUCAAGCAGGCAAGGCUGCCAAAAUCACCAGCCCACCCAGAUUCAAGGGGAAGGAAUGCAGGCAUUAGGAAAUAAAGGAAGAUGCAGCUUCCUUCUGGCUCUCUUCGGACGCUCAUCCUUGGGAUCAGCCACUGUGUUACGAGAAUGUCCAAACUAGCCCAUGCAGAGAGAUCACUCGUAGGACUUCCUGCUGACAACCAACCUGACAGCCAGCAUCAACCACCAUGUGAUGUGAGCAUGUGAGCGACGCUGCUGCAGACAAUUCCAGCCCCCGGUCAUUGAGUAACCACUAGCCUUGAAGUCUUUCCAGCCGAGGCCCAGAUACCACAGAGUAGAGCUCAGCCAUCCUCUCCUGUGCCCUGUCCUGACCCGCGGAAUGCACGAUAGUUAUUAUACAUCUCUGCACUCUGGGAUGUUUUGUUACAUAGCAAUAGCAACUGCAACAAUUGCAGUGAAGCCUUGUUCUGUAUGUGUGGCUCCAUACCCUGCAGACAGCAUUUGCUGGAUUUAAGUGACCAGAAAAUUGGGCCCAGCCACUCCACCUCCCAGUGAGAGCCCCACAGGCGGGUAGAUGUGAGCUUUAAGGGAGCAGGGACUUACUUGGCUGUCAUAUUCCCUGCUGGCUUCUCGUGGCCUAAAACACCCUUGGGGAGGGGGGGCAGUCAGAUAUUUGUUGAGACAAAGAAGGAAAAGGAGUCUCCGAUGAACUUGGGUGAGGUAUUCAAUAGAACUUUCCCCUGGACAAAUGAAUUAACAGCAUUCACAGCAACCUGGAUGAGAUUAGAGACUAUUAUUCUGAGUGAAGUAACUCAGAAAUGGAAAACCAAGCAUCGUAUGUUCUCACUGAUACGUGGGAGCUAAGCUAUGAGGACGCAAAAGCAUAAGAAUGAUACAAUGGGCCGGGUGCGGUGGCUCAUGCCUGUAAUCCCGGCACUCUGGGAGGCCGAGGUGGGCGGAUCACGAGGUCAGGAGAUCGAGACCGUCCUGGCUGACACAGUGAAACCCCGUCUCUACUAAAAAUACAAAAAAUUAGCUGGGCGUGGUUGCAGGCGCCUGUAGUCCCAGCUACUCGGGGGGCUGAGGCAAGAGAAUGGCCUGAACCUGGGAGGCGGAGCUUGCAGUGAGCCCAGAUCGCACCACUGCACUCCAGCCUGGGCGACGACAGAGCAAGACUCCGUCUAAAAAAAAGAAUGAUACAAUGGAUUUUGGGGACUUGGGGGGAAGGGUGAGGGGGCAAGGGAUAAAAGACUACAAAUAGGGUGCAGUGUAUACUGCUUGGGUGAUGGGUACACCAAAAUCUCACAAAUCAGCACUAAAGAACUUAUGUAACCAAGUACCACCUGUACCCCAAUAACCUAUGGAAAAAUUUUUUAAAAUUUUAAUUUUUUUUAAAAAAAGAACUUUCCCCUGGACAGAAAGGGCAGUCAGAUCCCAAGCCACAUAAGCAUAGGCAGGGGAUAUAGCUUCCUCCGGGUUGGGAAGGAUCUGGAAGAGUGUGAAAUGGACAAGGCAGGAAGUGGAUUUGAUGAGUUCUUGGUCUAUCAUGCACCCUCCCCACCCCGUGCCUGCCUUCUCAGUCUGCCCCCAACAUGAAAAGUGCCACAAGGGCAUCACACCAGACUGGUGGUCAACCCACGUGUCUCCAGGCCUGGCCCAGCCACCAGCUUUCUGGGUGGCCCUGGGUAUGUCCUGCCCUUCUUGGGGCUCUGUCUCCCCUAUCUCAGAGCGGGAUGGUAAAAGCCCAGGUCCUUCCAGCUGUGCCACCCCUGGAGUCUCCAAGAAACCCCAGCUAGCCCUUCCCACCUCCCAGUCUGCAGCCCGAGUAGGGCAAGAGCCAUCUGAGAGUCCCUCGCACCAAACUGAGGCUGGGCUGGUAAGGGUGGAACACGAAUGCCUCAGCCAGCACCUCCCUCCGCAGGCCCCUCCACAGCUGGUAGGAUGGGCAGCAAAUUGUAAAUUUGUUUUCCUUCCUCAAAUGAUGGGAAUUGAUUAGCUUAGCAAGGAGCUCCAGCUGCUCCGUGGAAAGGAACCAAGGUGGUUCCUGUAGUAGCUGUCAUUGAUUCAGACAAAGCCCGGAGUAGGACUAGGAGGACUGUGGCCAUGGGGGUGGAGUGAGGUGGGGUAGAGUAGGGGCUGUGAUCAGGCCUUUCUGGGCCCUGGGAAUGUUCUUCUCAGUGACCAAUGCCCUUUCUCUCUGCCUCUGUCUCUGUCUCUCUCUCACACAUACAGGCACACUCAGAGGUAGUCAAAAAUUAAACUCUGGGCCUUGCCGGGGCCCAUGAAUCAAGGUGGAUGCAUAUCCACGAAACCAACCAUCCUCCUCUUGGGAAAGGCAACCGAGGCAGCUGCUUAAAAGAGAACAGGCCCUAGGGAGCCUCAUAAGGAAAGACUUCACCCACUUUCAAGCCCAGGCUUGUGGAAAUCCAAAGCCAUAUCUGCAGUCAAAUCCCAGCUUUAUAACAGAAAAAAAAAACGCACAUCUAUAUGCAUUUAAAAACCCAUUAAUAGCAGUAACCUGUUUGGGAGGAUUAUGGGUGAUUUUUAUUUUCUCCUUUGUACUUGUCUGUUUCUAAUUUUUCUGCAAUGAUCAGGUAUAUCCUUACUUUUAGAAUCAGAAAUAAAUGUUAUUUAAAAAUA